rnacentral:rRNA from 1 species
UAAGAAUCUUCCGCAAUGGGCGCAAGCCUGACGGAGCGACGCCGCGUGAACGAAGAAGGCCGUGAGGUUGUAAAGUUCUUUUCUUACUGAAGAAUAAUUACUGCAGGGAAUGGCAGUGAGAUGACGUUAGGUAAGGAAUAAGCCCCGGCUAAUUACGUGCCAGCAGCCGCGGUAACACGUAAGGGGCGAGCGUUGUUCGGAAUUAUUGGGCGUAAAGGGCGUGUAGGCGGUUUUGCAAGUCUGGUGUGAAAUACCACAGCUUAACUGUGGGGACGCGCUGGAAACUGUAAGACUAGAGUACAGGAGGGGGACCUGGAAUUCCUGGUGUAGGGGUGAAAUCUGUAGAUAUCAGGAAGAACACCGGUGGCGAAGGCGAGGUCCUGGCCAUGUACUGACGCUGAGGCGCGAAAGCGUGGGGAGCGAAC